AGAGAGCAGGAGUGACAUGGAAGAGACAGCUCUCAAGAAAGAACAAGCAAGGCAGGUUAUUCUUCUCAGAAAAAGCAAGCAGAAGAUAUCCAGAUCUUUCUCUUUGGGGAAAAUAAUUUGACUUGUGGUGUCCAGUCCUGUAUCUCUGCCGUAGCUUAACUAUAUUUAACUGCAAGACCUCUGCACCUCUUCCCCUGCAGAGAGAGAAGCAGUAAAUCUCUACUAUCUCUGCUCAAUCAAGGGUGAAGAUCUGACCUAUUUCCUUGCCAAGUUCCCUUAUCAGAACAAAGAGAAAAUCUGAAGGGGAACUCAAGAGUGAUGAGACUCCCUCUUGCAAGACCUGCUGUGAGGAAAACAAAUGCUGUCUGCCCAACUUGACCCAGAAGAUGUUGAUUUUAGAGAAGUGGACAACUCUGCUACAGGGAACUGUUCUUCUGGCCAGAUGUGGAAGGAAUAUGUAUGAGCCUAUAUCUAAACAUUGGUACUUAGGGAAAGCCUGGAAGCCUGGGGAUAUUAAAAAUUCCAUUUGUGGCAGAAAGAUAAGGACACGGAUCUCCACAGGGAACACGGAAAAGUUAGUUUAGCCUUCCCAAGCUCAUCAGGUAUUGUUUGACAGAAAGUGUGAAGUUUUUCGGAAUGAGUGCUCCUGUCACACAUAAAGCAAGUGUAGGCCAACAGAGGCUUCAGACCACCAAGAAGAACUCAACAACAUCAGGGACUGAAACGUUAAGUUUUUCUAUGGAGUCUUGCACUGGUCACUACUAGAUCAUUCUGCCUUCAGGCUAAUUGUUUGUUCUUAUGCUGACAAUUGUCUGGAGGAUGUUUAUACUUUUGGGUUAUCUGUCCUGGUUUGUGAAAUCUCAUUCAAAGCUAUACCUAAAUAUCAUCAAAUGGCAUCCCUAUACAAUUAUGUUCCAUUUUCUUAAAAGUAAUGUUCAUGUUA